rnacentral:rRNA from 1 species
AGCGGCGCAAGGGUGCGUAACACGUGGGUAAUCUGCCGUGAAGCCUGGAAUAACUCGCUGAAAGGCGAGCUAAUACCGGAUGUGACGUUGGCAUCCAAAGCUGCACUUCACGAUGAGCCCGCGGCCUAUCAGCUAGUUGGUGAGGUAACGGCCCACCAAGGCUAAGACGGGUAGCUGGUCUGAGAGGACGACCAGCCACACUGGAACUGAGACACGGUCCAGACACCUACGGGUGGCAGCAGUCGAGAAUUUUUCACAAUGGGCGAAAGCCUGAUGGAGCGACGCCGCGUGGGGGAUGAAUGGCUUCGGCCCGUAAACCCCUGUCAUUUGCGAACAAUGAUUGUAGCGAAAGAGGAAGGGACGGCUAACUCUGUGCCAGCAGCCGCGGUAAUACAGAGGUCCCAAGCGUUGUUCGGAUUCACUGGGCGUAAAGGGUGCGUAGGCGGUCGGGUAAGUCUGACGUGAAAUCUCGCGGCUCAACCGCGAAACGGCAUCGGAUAC